rnacentral:rRNA from 1 species
CCUACGGGAGGCAGCAGUGGGGAAUAUUGGGCAAUGGGCGCAAGCCUGACCCAGCAAUGCCGCGUGAAGGAUGACUGCCCUAUGGGUUGUAAACUUCUUUUAUAUGGGAAUAAAAUGUUCCACGUGUGGGAUUUUGUAUGUACCAUAUGAAUAAGGAUCGGCUAACUCCGUGCGAGCAGCCGCGGUAAUACGGAGGAUCCGAGCGUUAUCCGGCAUUAUUGGGUUUAAAGGGAGCGUAGGUGGAUUGUUAAGUCAGUUGUGAAAGUUUGCGGCUCAACCGUAAAAUUGCAGUUGAAACUGGCAGUCUGGAGUACAGUAGAGGUGGGCGGAAUGCGUGGUGUAGCGGUGAAAUGCUUAGAUAUCACGAAGAACUCCGAGUGCGAAGGCAGUUCACUGGACUGAAACUGACACUGAGGCUCGAAAGUGUGGGUAUCAAACAGGAUUAGAUACCCCAGUAGUC